AUUCAACCAGUGAAACUCAUUCAAUUUGUGAAGUGCCCAUUCGUCAUUAUAUUCAUUAUCAAUUUUAAUAUUGGAACAGUCUCAACUUUCAAUAUCUCAACGUAUUCAAGUCAAGCUCUCUUCCGCAUCGGUCACCGUUUAUCAGGAUAUAAUCAAGAUAUCUUCAUCGUUCAACUUCUAUUAGCCCAGCAGCUGUCUGCAACUACAAUGUACUUGACAGGAGUCAAGUUCCAUCCUCGGAUUUUGAGUCACCGUAGGCCUAUCACUUUGGCAACACAUCAUUAAUUAUUCAGGGAAGUCUUAUUCUAUUAUUCACAUUUUUGUACUUACCCUCUCAGAGGCACUGUGUUUACUGGUAGUCUUCAUCCCAUCAAUUUUGUUCCUGAUUAACUUUUUAUUCCUAAAUAAUAACUAUUUAAAUACUAUCAAUCAUUCAAUUUUUUAUUUUCUAUAUUAUUAUUACUUAUAUGUUCUACAUAUAGUAAUAUUCCCCAUGUUACUUGACAUGCUUUAAGCUGUCUUUUCCCAGCCCGCUUAUGUAAUACAAUAUGCUGAGCUUCGUCUCCUUUCAAUAUUGUAUUUGGUAUUUUUCAACCUUUUCUAUUUUUAAUUAUUAAUCGAACCUUCAGUUCUGGACAGACUUUCUGCUCCUUCUGCUUACAUUAUAGCCAAGUUGCUAUAUUUGUCCUCUUUCAGUGUUACAUAGUCAACAGCUUGAAAGCUUCAGGUACGAUUGGAUUCUACCUAAACUGAAUUCCUAGUUUUCAUUUGUUGG